rnacentral:tRNA from 1 species
GGGCCUGUGGCUCAUGGGUAGAGCAUCCGCUCGGCAUGCAGAAGGGUCCGGGUUCAAUCUCCAGCAUCUCCA